CCAUCACUCCACAGUCCACACAACGGCGCAGCACACAGUCCCUCCCAUCACCCUAGAGCUCGUGCUUCCGUCCAGCCGCCGGACUGCUCCCGCGCCGUCGCAAGUUGUAGUCGAAGCCACCUUCGCCAUCGUGCAGCUACCGUUUCCGCUUUGGAAGCAAGCACCGUCGCCAGGCUCGCCUCCUGCCUCCGUCGCGCAGCCUGUUCCACCGGUUAGCUCUGUUCCCCCUCUUGCUCAGGAUCUGCUCUGCUCUGUUCUUGUCGAAGACUGUUUCCAUAAGUGACCAGGCCACUGCUCUUGUCGAAGCCGGAGUGCCGGUUAUUCGCUUGGCCGCCGGAGAACCUGAUUUCGAUACACCUGCCGUCAUAGAUGAGGCUGGGAUUAAUGGUAUUCGCGAAGGAUACACACGGUACACCCCUAAUGCCGGAAAAUUUGAAUUGCGCAGAGCGAUUUGUCAUAAGUUGACGGAGGAGAAUGGAAUUACAUAUACUCCUGAUCAGAUUGUGGUAAGCAAUGGAGCAAAGCAGAGUAUUGCUCAGGCAGUACUUGGAGUUUGUUCACCCGGCGAUGAGUUGAACCACGAUUAGAUUGGUUGGACCAAUGAACUAGUGACUAGAAUGGUUUGAUGACCGGUCCGGUUCUCAGAACCUUGCUCCUUCCUCUUCCUCAGUGUCUCAGUCUCGUCAGUCGCACUCUCGCACUCAAGCUCUCGUCUCCGGUCUCUCUCACAGCCUCCGGUCUCGCAUUCAAGCUCGUCAUCGCUCUCAGUCUCCUCAUCGUCUCUCAGUCAGCGCGCGCCUUCCCUGCACUUGUCAUCGCCGGUGGCAGAAGCAGCACGUCCUGGGACUGGAUGUCAUUGUCGUAUUCUUGCUUCGAGCCUCGCGUCAGCUUCCUCCUUAUUAGAAUUAAUAGUUAGUAUUAGAAUGAUAUUUACCAAGCUAUGCCAGGUGUACAAAUGAUGAAUUAGUUAAGCUACUACUUGUAUUGCUGUA